GUCAAUACCACACCCGGGUCAAUACUACCUGACUGUGGUUGGGUCUUUUUGAGUUCAAAUUCUGUCGCCCUCUCAUAAGUGGGGGGGCUAUCUGUCUCAAACCUGAUAGUUUGCUUCUUCCUCAUCAGCAAGAAGGGGGAUCACACUCCCAAAAAAGGACUGUUAAGAAGCUGAGAGCCACAGUAAAAAGCCACAAGGAUGUCCCAAGUUACAUUUCCAACCUUGUCACCUGCUUCCUUCACAAACCCACUUUUCUGGGCAGAAAAGUGCACCCUGCCAGCAGAACACGCCUGGUUCCUUCCUCCCUCCAAACUUCCGCCCACACUCGCCUCUGUAGCCUCUGUAGCCAGAUGUGCUCCUCUUCAUAUCAUUUUUUUUUUUUUUCUUGAGAAAGUUUCUUGCUCUGUUGCUCAGGCUGGAGUACAGUGGCAUGAUCAUGGCUCACUGCCACCUUGACCUCCUGGGCUCAGGCGAUCCUCCCACUUCAGUCUCCAGAAUAGCUGGGACCACAGGUGCACACCAUGCCCAACUAAUUAAAAAAAAAUAUUUUUUUGUAGAGACGAGCUCUCACCAUGUUUCCCAGACUGGUCUAGAAUGCCUGGGCUCAAGCGAUCCUCCCUCCUCAGCCUCCCAAAGUGGUGGUA
rnacentral:lncRNA from 1 species